CUGGGUGUAGCGCAGCUUGGUAGCGCGCUUGACUGGGGGUCAAGAGGCCGGAGGUUCAAGUCCUCUCACUCAGA
rnacentral:tRNA from 1 species